CCUACGGGUGGCAGCAGUGAGGAAUAUUGGUCAAUGGCCGUAAGGCUGAACCAGCCAAGUCGCGUGAAGGAAGAAGGACCUAUGGUUUGUAAACCUCUUUUAUCGGGGAAUAAAGGUAUCCACGUGUGGAUAUUUGCAUGUACCCUAUGAAUACGCAUCGGCUAACUCCGUGCCAGCAGCCGCGGUAAUACGGAGGAUGCUAGGGUUAUCCGGAUUUAUGGGGGUUAAAGGGUGCGUAGGUUGGUUAUUAAGUCAGCGGGGAAAGUUUGUGGCACAACCAUAAAAUUGCCGUUGAAACUGGAGGACUUGAGUGUGGUAGAGGUAGGCGGAAUGCGUGGUGUAGCGGUGAAAUGCAUAGAUAUCACGCAGAACUCCGAUUGCGAAGGCAGCUUACUAGGCCAUAACUGACACUGAGGCACGAAAGCGUGGGGAUCAAACAGGAUUAGAUACCCGGGUAGUC
rnacentral:rRNA from 1 species